UGGGGAACCUGCCCCAUAGUCUGGGAUACCACUUGGAAACAGGUGCUAAUACCGGAUAAGAAAGCAGAUCGCAUGAUCAGCUUUUAAAAGGCGGCGUAAGCUGUCGCUAUUGGAUGGCCCCGCGGUGCAUUAGCUAGUUGGUAAGGUAAAGGCUUACCAAGGCGAUGAUGCAUAGCCGAGUUGAGAGACUGAUCGGCCACAUUGGGACUGAGACACGGCCCAAACUCCUACGGGAGGCAGCAGUC
rnacentral:rRNA from 1 species